rnacentral:rRNA from 1 species
UACGUAGGGUGCAAGCGUUGUCCGGAAUUAUUGGGCGUAAAGAGCUCGUAGGCGGUCUGUCACGUCUGCCGUGAAAACCCGAGGCUUAACCUCGUGGCUUGCGGUGGAUACGGGCAGACUAGAGGUAGGUAGGGGAGAACGGAAUUCCCGGUGUAGCGGUGAAAUGCGCAGAUAUCGGGAGGAACACCGGUGGCGAAGGCGGUUCUCUGGGCCUUACCUGACGCUGAGGAGCGAAAGCAUGGGGAGCGAACGGG